rnacentral:tRNA from 1 species
GGCGCAAUAGCCAAGUGGUAAGGCAGGAGUCUGCAAAACUCCUAUACGGGAGUUCGAUUCUCCCUUGCGCCUCAA